rnacentral:rRNA from 1 species
AGAGUUUGAUCCUGGCUCAGGAUGAACGCUAGCGGCAGGCCUAACACAUGCAAGUCGAGGGAGAAGCCUUCGGGCUGAACCGGCGCACGGGUGCGUAACGCGUAUACAAUCUGCCUUUCACAUAGGGAUAGCCCGAAGAAAUUUGGAUUAAUACCUAAUGGUAUAUAAGAGCGGCAUCGUUUUUAUAUUAAAGCUACGGUGGUGAAAGAUGAGUAUGCGUUCUAUUAGCUAGUUGGAGAGGUAACGGCUCCCCAAGGCGACGAUAGAUAGGGGUUCUGAGAGGGAUGUCCCCCACACUGGUACUGAGAUACGGACCAGACUCCUACGGGAGGCAGCAGUGAGGAAUAUUGGACAAUGGUCGGAAGACUGAUCCAGCCAUGCCGCGUGCAGGAUGAAGGUCCUAUGGAUUGUAAACUGCUUUUGUAAGGGAAGAAUAAGAGCUACGUGUAGUUUGAUGACGGUACCUUACGAAUAAGCAUCGGCUAACUCCGUGCCAGCAGCCGCGGU